rnacentral:rRNA from 1 species
GCCAGUAGUCAUAUGCUUGUCUCAAAGACUAAGCCAUGCAAGUCUAAGUACACACCGUUCUACGGUGAAACCGCGAAUGGCUCAUUAAAUCAGCUAUCAUUUAUUAGAUGCUCUUCCUUUACUUGGAUAACUGUAGUAAUUCUAGAGCUAAUACAUGCCACUGAUGCCGCAGUCGAAAGAUUGUCGGCGGUUUUAUUAGAUCAAAACCAACCGGGUUCGCCCGUUUGUUUUGUUGACUCUGGAUAACUCUACUGAUCGCAUGGCUUUACGCCGGCGACAUGUCUUUCAAGUAACUGCCCUAUCAACUUUCGACGGUAGGGUAUUGGCCUACCGUGGUGAUAACGGGUAACGGGGAAUCAGGGUUCGAUUCCGGAGAGGGAGCCUGAGAAACGGCUACCACAUCUACGGAAGGCAGCAGGCGCGCAAAUUGCCCACUCCUGGCACAGGGAGGUGGUGACGAAAAAUAACGAUACGGACACUUCAAGUGUUUCGUAAUUGGAAUGAGUACACUUUAAGUCCUUGCACGAGGAUCAAUUGGAGGGCAAGCCUGGUGCCAGCAGCCGCGGUAAUUCCAGCUCCAAUAGCGUAUAUUAAAGUUGUUGCAGUUAAAAAGCUCGUAGUUGAAUUCAAGGUGUGGCUUGGUGGUUCGUCGUUUGAUGAUACUGCUGGGCCUGCCUAUGCAGCUGUUGUAUACGGUGAUUGCUUCUUUCGGGGAGUGGUUAUCGUGACCGGCAAGUUUACUUUGAAAAAAUUAGAGUGCUCAAAGCAGGUUUGCGCCUGUAUAUUGUUGCAUGGAAUAAUGGAAUAGGACUUCUGUUCUAUUUUGUUGGUUUUCGGAAUAGAAGUAAUGAUUAAAAGAGACGGAUGGGAUCCGCACUACUUGGGGGCGAGCGGUGAAAUGCACAGACCCUCCAAAGAGUAGCUAUUGCGAAAGCAGCGGAUAAAAACGUUCUCAUUAAUCAAGAACGAAAGUCAGAGGUUCGAAGACGAUCAGAUACCGUCCUAGUUCUGACCAUAAACUAUGCCAACUGACAGCCUGUAGUUGCCACUGAUGUGCACUGCAGGAGGUCUCCGGGAAACCUGAAGUUUUUGGGUUCCGGGGGAAGUAUAGUUCGCAAGGCCGAAACUUAAAGGAAUUGACGGAAGGGCACCACCAGGAGUGGAGCCUGCGGCUUAAUUUGACUCAACACGGGAAAACUCACCCGGCCCGGACACUGUGAGGAUAGACAGAUUGAGAGCUCUUUCUUGAUUUGGUGGGUGGUGGUGCAUGGCCGUUCUUAGUUGGUGGAGCGAUUUGUCUGGUUAAUUCCGAUAACGAACGAGACUCCAACCUGCUAACUAGUGCAUUCAUUCUUUCGUGAGUGAUUACUUCUUAGAGGGACUAGUGUUCUACCUACAAACACACGAAAUUGAGCAAUAACAGGUCUGUGAUGCCCUUAGAUGUCCGGGGCCGCACGCGCGCUACAAUGACAGUAUCAGCAAGCACUAACAUAGCUCGAGAGAGUUGUGAAAACUUCUGAAUCACUGUCGUGACAGGGAUCGUGGCUUGUAAUUAUUCCACGUGAACGAGGAAUUCCCAGUAAGUGCAAGUCAUUAGCUUGCGCUGAUUACGUCCCUGCCCUUUGUACACACCGCCCGUCGCUACUACCGAUUGAAUGGUUUAGUGAGAUUACU